AUCAAUACUCUUUCAGAAUAAUUUUAGUAUUUUUAACAAUCUGCACUGUUACCUGUUUGUCUUUGCCCUCCCUGUUCUAAAUCUGAAUGCUGUGAUAAGCUGUUAACAGAAUGUGAUGCUGUCUUGUGCAGAGCUACUACACUGUAGUUAACAAUCAGCUCCACCCCUUUAAAUCUGUUUUGGGAUCUAUCCCAAAAGUAAGGUGGAAGAAAGGAAUGUAAUUUAUGAAAGCUGACCAAUAGGACCACUUUCAAGAGCAGGAGCAAAGUGAAGAUUACUGUGUGUCUAUGUCUCUGUACAUGCUAUACGUUCCUUUUAACCAGUUUCUGGUGUUAAGUGUUCACAUUAGUAAAAGCAAAUCGGACUGUAAAGAAAAUGUGGGCUACAGAGCCCAUGUUAAACCUCUGACAUACUGAGCCUUACCCUAAAGCAUAAGUAUAGUGACUUUCUCUCCAGUUACCUGGGUUCUGAAAUCACUCUUUGCUUAACUGCAAAAGAGCUGAAAUAUACUGAGAAAAUGGGGGUGUUGAAAGUCUGUCUUCUUGCAUGGCCCUUUCACGUGUAUUGCGAAGUCAGAAGCAGAAGACAAAGUCUUGCUCUUCCCUCAACAGGAGCAAACUGAAAUAUGAUUGCAGCAAGAGAAAAUAAAAGUAUUAGGAACAGUUAUUAUAGCAUCUCAGAAAUACAAGUGAGGGUGAAGAAGAGUUUCGAAUAUAUUUCUACAUCCAAAUAGACAAAUAUUAAUUUAUUUUUUUUUCUGUAUAAAUGGGCAAUUCAUUAGUCAGGUGGGCAGAGUCAUUCUGAGCAGCACAUAUUUGCCGAGAAGCAGUGCUUACCUACUAAGUGCUAUGUGAUCACGAAGUUCUGUACCCAUAAAAACUUAGGCAGGUUCCUAAAGCCUGUUGUCACUGAUUGGAGUUGGUGUCAUUUUAAUAAGUAGUAAGGGGAUAAAGUAAGACCAGGGUUUUUCCUUAACAGGGAUAGGAUCCCAAGGAGGACAGUGGUGGUGAAUUGGCUAAUUCUGCUUAGUUCUACAUUGGAGUGAGACACUGAAGCUUUGGGUCAGCUUCUUAAUUCCUAAUAAGCUCUUCUAGAGGCAAUCAGGAGAAUCAAGGAAAUGGGCCAAGAGCAAUAAAAACUAUUCCAUGUCUCCUUUGCAUAUUAGUAUGCUCAAAAUUGAAACCAACUGUGCAGUACAGAAGUGCAGAUAAAGAAAUAUGGUUUUGUUUUCAUUUGUUUGUCACAAGGAAGGAAGAAGAUAAAAACUGGAGUAUGACACUGCAGGGGCAGCAAAAGAUAAGUACCAUGUUGAUUACUAUCUAGUGUGGGAAGACACGGUGAAGUAUGCAAACUCUUCACUAGCUAGCAGUGGAUUAGGGAACUAUAUUAAUGCUAGUAAAUGCUGAUGUGCGGUUCACUUUUAUGUUUAAUGUCCAAUUUGAAAGGAAUUAAAGAGGAAUGUAGCAUCAAGUGUUCAGCAGAGUAGUAGCUGAUUACUUUUGCAUGACACAAGAAGCCUAGUUGGGAAUAGUAGCUAUCCAAAACCUGUAAUCUUACCAGUUUUUCCCAGAUAGAGGACAGACUUGACAAAUUAAUUGAUUUUGAUGGCAGAAGCUUAUUGCUGGAUGUUAAAGCAAGCUGUUACAGCUAAAGUUCAUGUAAAAUGAUACCAAGUGAGGCCAAAGGUUCUUUGCUUUCUAUUUUUCUUUGUUUAGGCUCUAUUAUCCCUUCAGCUUUGACUUUUAAACACAGCAUCUCUCUUAAUGGGGAGGAUGACAAACAUAACCAGUAUGGUCUGAAUUUUCCUUGAGGGAAAUGGGUGGAGCUGUUGCAGUGCUAUGCCAUAUGGUGGAGGAACACCCAGGGUGGCACCUUAACUGCACUUAGAACAAAACCAUCAGUGUCUUUCAGUUUUGUUUUCACUUGUUCUUAGUUCCCUAUUAGCCUACUUACUGUAAGUAUGGCUGUUCAUAAAAUCCAUAAACAGCCUCUUUCGGCACACAACAGAACUAGCACUGCACGAAACACAGCAACCGAGAAAGCUUUCUUGCACCCAACAGAACAAGUUUUUUGUUUGGAAUUUUUUUAAUGGCAAAGAAAAUACGCUUUUUUUAUGCAAGAGAGUUGGUUUGUGAUUCUCCUUUAUCAACUGUACGGAGUGCUCAGAGUGGAAUGAGCAGAGGAAAAGGUCAAGUCUAAGUCUGAAUGUACCCAGAACGUUCCUGAUCCCUAGAAUAAACUGAUUUUCUGUAACAUGGUAUAUAUCGCUAAUAGUUUUCAAUUUCUUGGUAUUUCCCCUGAAAUGGGAAGAUAAAGGAAUAUUUCUUUGAUCUUGCUCAGAACUUCCCUGUUGUCUAGGAUAGGAUACUCAUAAUUCCAGGUAGAUACAACUACUUUUAUGUGAACAGAACAGCCCUGAGUUUACCCAUGAUAGUAAAAAAAGUGCCAAGACCCAGCAAUAAGCAACAAAAAAAUCAAAAUCCUGGAUACAUGUAUCAUCUCCUAGCUCUAUACUGAAACAAUAAAAUACUAUAAUUGCCUGAGUGCAUUCAAGUAGCUGUCCGUGUGAUAACUAAUGUGUAACUACUGUGGUUUAGUUCUGCUGUGAUCUUUGUGUAGCAAACGGUGCAGUUCAGAUACCCAAGGCACCCUGGGUUUGUCAGUUGGAGACCAGCAGGAUCCAGCUCUAAGCAAUGAUCUUGGAGCUCUCUGCUCUGCUUCCUGCAUUGCUCCUGAUCCUAGCCAGCUCACACUUCAGAUAUAUUAUUGGGUUCCGUGCUGGCAAAAGAAGUGUAUAGUGAGUGACAUGGUUUUGCAAGCAAGUCCUGCAGUGAUGGUGAGCCUGAACUUGUCAUUCCUGCUGCACCUGAGCUAAUGCCAUGAAGUGUCUUUGUACUGUGUUUCCCAGUGUGUCCCAUAAUGUGGUAUUUGGGCUUUCUUUUCCUACCAGUGUUAAUGUCUUGUGUGUUCCAGGCGCCUUUCCCACCAUGUUGGAAGACAGAGGUGACUGAACUUAAAAUAAAAACCAUAUCAGUUUAAAAAUAUGAAAUAUACUUUUGUAUUUAUUGCAAAAUAUUAUUUCCUAAUGCUAACUUGUAUGAAGAAAGAAAAAUAUGAAAAAUUGUCAAAAUACUGUGAUAUGUAGGAAAGCUGUUCUUCACUGAAAAAAAGUGAAGAUGAAAACCUUAAUAUGAGUAGGUAAAAAUCUCUAGGAAGAGACUGUUACAGAACUGGUAAAGUUUUUUCCACGCAGGCACACAGGAACAUUACACAAGUCCAUUCACAAGUUUGCUAAGGACAAGAGAGUACCUAUUGGCAACAGGUAACUUGCUGGGUAUACAGCAAGUGCCUACGUGUUCUUUUUGCCUGUGAAAAAAUACUAAUUGAUUAAUGAUAAGCUAACAAUAUAAUUGUAAAUUGCCUUUUGUUUAACACAAAAUGAGCAUGUGGAGGGUCAAUUUGUGGUGCAAACAUUACUACAUAAUUCCCAUUCUUUUUAUAGAUAGAUCUGAGAUAACGCUUAGAUUUUAAUGGGUGGAAAACAUGGAAGAAAAGGGCUUUGACAUGAGGAACUACAAAAUUGCCAAGGAGCGUAUUGGAUGAGUAUCUUUUUUCUUAUUAACCAAAAUGUUCCACACAGAUGGCCAGCAUAACCAUUCCCAUUUUUCAAACAGACACUGAGGCACAAGAAAGAGCCAACUUGCCUAAAACUGCUCAGUAUGGUAGACGGAAGUGGUGACCAAGCUCCUAAGCCUCACGGCAGCAACAAGCUCCCUCCUCAUCCCACCACGACAUCUAUCCUGCCUAGGCAGAUGUCCAGGGCUGAUGUGAAGAUUUUUCGCAGCUGGCUCCAGCAUCGUCUACCCAGCAACCAGUACCACAACAGCCCUGCUGCUGUGGCAAAUGAGGCCUCUGAGGGCAUCCAUCUUGUUUCACCUCAGCUGAAGCAAGCAGGUUGAGAGCAAAUGAAUGCAAGACACUGCGGGGAGAGAGGCUGGCGGGAAAGCGACAGGAGAUGGGGGAGCACGAGCCAAACCCCUGCUCAGUGGCAGACCUUGUGGUAACAGCAAAGCCCUCAGCUGGGUACAGGGCAGCUCCGCAGUAGGUAUGUGUUUUAGGUGAGCUUAAAUGUCACUCCUCUACCUGCACCGCUAGGCUCGACAAAAUAUAGUAAUAUCAGUAUUAAACUGAGAAUGGCAAACUGCAGGUAGCCCACUGUGCUGAACAGCCUACAUAUGAAGUGAGGUGUGUCAGAGAGGUCAAGACUGUACUUCUGUUUUUAAAUAAUUGCUAAAAGAUACAUUUGAAUGUGUUUUCUGUUAGGCCUAUGAUUUAAUGGUGCAAAUGCUGUGUAAACGCUGUAGCUACCUGUAGUAAAGGAGAUGGGAUUCAGUCUUUUUACCUCAAUAUACAGCAAGGCUUCUGUUCCUAUGAAUUGGUUUGCUGCAACUGAUGGCAGAGGUGUUGGGGGUUUGUUUUUCUUGUUCUGAAUGAUGGAGCUAUGCCUGAAAAAUGUUAAGUAUUAUGUUCUUAUGCCAAAAUAAAUAUUCAUGCUUGGACUUAAUCAGGAAUAGAUGAAUCACUUGAAAGUCACACAAUUACUUAAUCAAGCGAAGACAGAACCCCAGUGUGAUACUUGGGCUUUGUUUGUUCGUGGUUUUAAGGGGAAAUGGCCUUUUGUCUUUGCACUUGGCCUGGUAUUAGCUAUAGGCUCCCUUAAACUGCCUGGAGCCUGUGUGAACAUGCUUCUUGAAGAACUUGUCUUCAUUCACUUAUGUGUAUCAUGGUUGCGUACAUAUUCAUUUAGGUGCUGGUGUGAGAAUAUACAUAUGUUGUAAUCUUUAUUUCUUUCUCUAAAGUCUGUUCGUGAAGUAUGCUUCCUGCUAUUCAACCUUUGUUUGCUGAAAAAACCACAACUAGAAGCAGUGUUUUGAGUGGAAAAUAACAGGGACGAUACCUUAUGAGUGAGUGAUGCGACAUUCCCCUCUCCCUCCCUUUAACAUUUUGUAGAAUGUCUGUCUCCAGGAUAAAGUCCUGAGACUUUGACUCUGAUUCCUAGCAUGAGGAUGAGUACAAAAUUUUUUGUGACAAAUUCAAGUUUACUGUGGAAAGGAGUUUUUUUCUCUAAGUUUUAAGAUAGGCAUUAUGUAAUGUAAAUAAUUUUAUUUUGGUUGUAAACAAGCAAAGCUACAAAUGAGUCCUAGUAUUCAGUGAUAGUGCUGCUGUUUUUCCUUUCUCUUUCAGUGCCAUAUUAGGGUAAUUUGUGUUUUGGAGGAGCAUUUCUGAACUGCCUUUUGCAACAGCAGAGAAAGUGCCUGAGAAAGUUCCAUGAAAAACAGUGAAUCAUAAGUGUGCUUCUAAUACUGACAGUGUUUCCUUCUGUUUCAGAAGCUUGCAGGCUGUGUUUGAUAUGAAUGCCUUUCGUGCUGGAAUUUUUUGUAGCUGCAUCCAAUCCUAUUUUUAGACCUGGGCCUGAUUUAUAUUCUGGAUGGCUCUGUUUUAUUGGGAAGCUUGUAGCUUUGCUAUAAUUCAUGUAUAUGACAUGUUAUUUCCAUAAAUACAGUUUAAAAUGAUAAUUACUUUGCAGAAUCGAAGACUACCUAAUCUGCUGUGUGAAGUGGUAUAAACUAUGACAGGGUAUUCUGGUAUUUAGAGGAGUCUGGUUACAAAACUAGGUGUGUCUCUGAUAUGUUCAGUUUCUCUCUUUUAUAUCACAGAAUGUAAACCCAAGUGCAGUGCAAACUAAUAAUGUUCAAAGUAUUUUUAGUGCCCCUGACUGUUACUAUGUGUGCUCAAUUUUGUACAUAUAUGUUGGUAUGUAAUUCUAUGCAUACAGUGGAAAUAGUGUAAUGGUCAAGUAAAAGGGAUAAACAAUUGAUGAAUUUUUAAAAAAAGAUGGAUUUUAGAAAUGUACAUUUUUCACCUGUGUAUGUAUGCAUUUAUGUUUAGAAUGUGGUUCCAUUGUACUAUUGAAACUGCAGCUGUGUAUGACAAACCAAGUUUUGCCAUCUGUCUUAUGGCUAGGUAAAUUCUGUAAGAUUGCAUUAUGUCAUUUUAAACGGCUAAUUGAAAGGAAGCAUUUUUUAAGAGGAAAUUGGUUUUGAAUACAUUGGUUCCCCUUUUCAGUCUCCACUUGAGUAUAUUUUUAACUGUUUCAGGAAUGAUACUUUUAAUGUACAUAAGAGAACUAAAAUAUUACAUAUUUUUAAUAAAAAAAUAGAAACUAUGGUCCAAAGACAUCAGAGUUCUGCUGAAAUAUACCAAUUAAGUUUUAUUAUCUCAUCAUUUGUCACUAAGUAUAGGAAUCAUUGUGAUUGAAAUCCAAAGUAAUGUAUGAUUUUUUUCCCUGGCUGCUGAAUGAGCAUACAAUAUUCGAAGUAUUGAGUCUUGGUAUUGUUAAUUUUAAGAGAAUAAGUUGCUGAGCAAAAUACUAUUCAGAGACUAUUAGUAAAAAAAUAAAAGCAAAAAAUAAAAGGCUGAUUUGCAUGUAUUUUGGUAUGUAAACACCCCCCCCUUUUUAAAACAAAUGUUAAAGAUUAAUCCAAA